UCCGAGUUGACCCCGGCAGUCUCCCGCGAGUCCCCACCAUUACGUGCUGGCAACACAGGACAAGGGUUGCGCUCGUUGCGGGACUUAACCCAACAUCUCACGACACGAGCUGACGACAGCCAUGCAGCACCUGUCUCUCGGUUCCCGAAGGCACCCCCGCAUCUCUGCAGGGUUCCGAGGAUGUCAAGACCUGGUAAGGUUCUUCGCGUUGCGUCGAAUUAAACCACAUGCUCCACCGCUUGUGCGGGCCCCCGUCAAUUCAUUUGAGUUUUAAUCUUGCGACCGUACUCCCCAGGCGGCCAACUUAACGCGUUAGCUGCGCCACUAAGGGCACUAGGGCCCCCAACGGCUAGUUGGCAUCGUUUACGGCGUGGACUAC
rnacentral:misc_RNA from 1 species